CGGUAAUACGUAGGUGGCAAGCGUUAUCCGGAAUUAUUGGGCGUAAAGCGCGCGCAGGCGGUCUCUUAAGUCUGAUGUGAAAGCCCACGGCUCAACCGUGGAGGGUCAUUGGAAACUGGGAGACUUGAGUGCAGGAGAGAAAAGUGGAAUUCCACGUGUAGCGGUGAAAUGCGUAGAGAUGUGGAGGAACACCAGUGGCGAAGGCGGCUUUUUGGCCUGUAACUGACGCUGAGGCGCGAAAGCGUGGGGAGCAAACAGGAUUAGAUACCCUGGUAGUCCACGCCGUAAACGAUGAGUGCUAGGUGUUGGGGGGUUCCACCCUCAGUGCUGAAGUUAACACAUUAAGCACUCCGCCUGGGGAGUACGACCGCAAGGUUGAA
rnacentral:rRNA from 1 species